rnacentral:rRNA from 1 species
UACGAAGGGGGCUAGCGUUGCUCGGAAUCACUGGGCGUAAAGGGUGCGUAGGCGGGUCUUUAAGUCAGGGGUGAAAUCCUGGAGCUCAACUCCAGAACUGCCUUUGAUACUGAAGAUCUUGAGUUCGGGAGAGGUGAGUGGAACUGCGAGUGUAGAGGUGAAAUUCGUAGAUAUUCGGAAGAACACCAGUGGCGAAGGCGACACGCUGGGCCAUACCUGACGCUAAAGCGCGACAGCAUGGGGAGCAAACGGG